GGUCCGCUGGCUCAAUGGCAGAGCGUCUGACUACGAUAUUCACUCAGUCUUGACUCAAGUCUCGUACUGGAAAUGUCAUCAGGAGGUUCCAGGUUCGACCCCUGGGUGGAUCG